AAAGCACCGACACCCCUCCUGCCUCUUAGUGCUUUGAAUGUUUUGGCCGGCAGACGACUCGAGCUCCCACGCCGAGAGGGGAGAAGGAGAUACCGUUAACCUUAACGGGGGUGGGGGGGAAGCUUUAGAGUGCGAAGGGAAAGAAAAAUCGCUCUUGGAUGCUUUGAAAAAAAUAAAUAAAAAAAGCAAAGACAACGUAAGCGCUAGUGCGGCUCGUUUGCCAUUUUUUUUUCGGCUGUCAAACUUAGACUUUGUCGGCAUUUUUACCAGUGACCCACCUCUCGUCUCGUCUCGUCUUUUUUUUUUCUUUCCAAACACUCCCCCUUACCUCCACUUGUCGGUUGUGUUCUCGCCCGCCGGGAAGCCGGAGGGUGAAAAGAGACGUCAAAUUCCUCUGACCUGGAAGAAAAGUGGUAGCAGUCCGCCACAGAUCAGUAUUCUCAUCAUGUGACUGAUUUGACAUCAUCUAUUUCAAAGAAAUACAGUAUCAGCUAAGCAUAAUAGUUACACCAGGAGUGCCACAGUGUCUGCACUAUUGUGUCAAGCUGGCUGUGUGACAGAAAUCCAGUGUCAUUCCGGUCAGUGUGAUGUUAGACUUGUGGAAGCAGGACUGACAGAAGGAGCAUGGUCAAACACCAACCCCUCCAAGUCUAUGAGCGCCAGCUUUGUUUGUCUUGUAUCACCGGGAUCUACGGUUGCCGCUGGAAACGCUAUCAACGCUCCCAUGAUGACACCACCAAGUGGGAGUUGCUGUGGUCCCUCGUCCUCCUUUUUACUUUCUGUGCUCUGCUGGUUUGGUUCUACUUCUGGUUGGAAGCUCACAACGACUACAGUGAGUUCAACUGGUUCCUCUACAACCGCUCUGGCGAGUGGAGCGAUGGCACUGUUCCAGUCUUGGCCACCACCGCUGCUGGCUUCACCUACAUAGCCUUUUUAAUGGUUUUAGCCCUUUGUCACGUUGCACUUGGCCAACAGUUGAAUAUGCAUUGGCUGCAUAAGAUAGGAGUCACUGCGGCUCUUCUCACAACUGUUGUUGGGGUGAUAUCCAUCAAUCAAACAUGGCAGCACGAGUGGGACAUCAUCCCAAUCUCCAUGCAGGCCACAGGCCCGUUCUUGCACAUCGGUGCCGUCACUGCGGUCACAGCUCUGUCCUGGAUAGUGGCUGGACAGGUCGCCCGUGCGGAUAAAACAUCGUUCCAGGUGGUGGUCAUGCUACUGUAUCUCAGUGUGUUAGUGGGGCUGUACGUGGUGCCGCUGUAUAUCACCUCCCCUUGCAUCAUGGACCCCAGCAAUCUCAGGCCCCGCCCCAAUGUUAUUGGUCACCAGGGGGCCCCCAUGCUUGCGCCAGAGAACACAAUGUGGUCCUUUCAGCGAGCGCUGCAAAUGAAUGUCACUGGGUUGGAGGCAGAUGUCGCAGUCAGUGUUGAUGCCGUUCCGUUCCUGAUGCACGACCGCACCCUACGCAGGACCACUGACGUAGAGAGGAUUUUCCCCGACAGGCAGAUGGAGGACGCCACACUGUUCAACUGGACCGAUCUACAGCAGCUCAAUGCGGGGCAGUGGUUCCUCAAGGUGGGACCACAGCUUCAAAUUGUAGACGACCCCUUCUGGACAACGCACACGCUAUCGCCCCACGAGAGAAACCUGAUUGCCAACCAGAGUGUGUGCAACCUGGAGCAGCUUCUAAAGCUGGCCUCUUAUCAUAACACCACUGUGGUGUUCAGGCUGAGGAGACCCCCUCUGGGGCACCCCUGCUACCACAGCUGGAUCAAUGACACUCUGCAGGCUGUGGAGCGAUCUGGGGUUCCUCAAAGUCUGGUAAUGUGGACUCCAGACGAAGACAGGGAUCAAGUGCAACAGCUUGCACCUGGUCUGAUCCAGACAUCCUUGAAGAAAAAAAGUCCUCAAAGCCUCAGAGAGGCAGGCAUCAGCAGGCUGCUGCUCAGAUACAACCAGGCCAGCACUCAGGAAAUCAGGGACUUGUCGCAGAAAAACAUCAGCGUUACCCUCUAUAUGGUCAACGAGCCUUGGCUGUACUCAGUGCUGUGGUGCAGCGACGUGUCAUCCGUAUCGUCUGAGGCACCACAUGUCCUCAAAAAGGUGCCUUACCCCAUCUGGCUCUUGAAACCAGAUGAAUACUGCCUGAUGUGGGUGUGUGCAGACCUCGCCUCCUUUGUGGUGGUCGUAGGAAUAUUCAUUUUACAGAAGCAUUUGGCUUUUGGCUGUGACAUGAUGUGCUUCCGAGAAUUCUGGCUGCUGCUUGAAAGUGGUGGAUCUUCACCCAGCCUUACUGCAAAUUUAUGGACGGAGAAACUCAGCACAGUGACGGUAUCGCACCAGCGGCAUGCGCAGCUACAACCCUGAGCAGAUCAUGCUGAGUGCCGCCGUGAGGAGGUCCAGUCGGGACCUCAACGUCAUGAAGGAGAAGCUCAUCUUCUCCGAGGUGGGGAAUGGCGUCGGGAGCGGCGAGGAGCCGUACACAGACGGCCCUAAUGACUGUGACUACUACACUGACGGAGGCAGGAGCCAAUGAUGGAGGAAGCAAGCAGCCGCUUGCUUUGUGUAUAUUUGUAAAUAAGCUUGUUUCCCAGACGCUCAUCGGACUCAGCACUUUUCAAGCCGUGAAAUUAAUUUGGCUCGUGUGUCAUUUUUGAGAAGGAGAGUCUAUAUUCUACAUUUUAAGCUCAUCUUCCCCAAAAGCAGUUCCUUCCAUUUUAAGCACUGAUGCCUUUUUUAAAUAUACACAUGCAAAACCAAACUGUAUUUCAGCAUAAGAAAUGCUUCAAGUUCAUCUUCUCCUGCCUUGUCAGCAUGCCACUUUUCUGCAUGCCCUGAUUUCUAUUUAAAGAGUGUAAAUGCUGUCGAAAAAAAUAAAAAAUACCACAGGUGUAUGAAUCUGUUAUGAUCAUAUAAGAUGUGAGCUGUACAGACAGGACAAAAUGGGACAAAACAGUGUUACUCCUCUUUUUAAACCACUUCUAGUAUGUAUCCUAUUUGGGUGUGUGUAUGCGUAUUUUUAUUAGUAUGUGUGCCGUGUUGUGCAUGUGAUGCUACGCAACAUAAAAUCUGGUGUUUGCAAGCCAACAUAAAACACACUUCUAAGUCACCUGACUGUAUUGAUGGACCUUAUUACAUUUGGCUGCAGUCAAGUCUACGGCGGGUCUUGUUUACAAACCAAAUGCGUCUUUGUGUCUGUUGCUGCUGUAAAAAUGUGGAUGAAGUGUGAAUAAAACUGUAAGCUAACUAAAGGGACACUAAUUGGGGCAACUUGCCUUGUUUGUUGAUUUUAUCUCGAGUUGUACUGUGCCUCAGAAGUCAAUAACAAUAAAACAACUUCUAGUCGUGUCUACAA